GAUGAACGCUGGCGGCGUGCCUAAUACAUGCAAGUCGAGCGCAGCGGGGACGGGGGAGUAACACGUGGAUAACCUCCUAUACGACUGGGUUAACGUCGGGAAACCGGAGCAAAACCGGCUACUUGGGUAUGGAUCCGCGGUGCAUUAGCUAGUUGGUAAGGUAACGGCGUAGCAAGGCAACGAUGCAUAGACGACCUGAGAGGGUGAUCGGCCACACUGGAACUGAGACACGGCCCAGACUCCUACGGGAGGCAGCAGUAGGGAAUCUUCCGCAAUGGGCGAAAGCCUGACGGAGCAACGCCGCGUGAGUGAUGAAGGUCUUCGGAUCGUAAAACUCUGUUAUUAGGGAAGCGGUACCUAACCAGAAAGCCACGGCUAACUACGUGCCAGCAGCCGCGGUAAUUC
rnacentral:rRNA from 1 species